rnacentral:piRNA from 1 species
UAAACUUCAAUCAAAAAAAAC